GACGAACGCUGGCGGCGUGCCUAAUACAUGCAAGUAGAACGCUGAAGGAGGAGCUUGCUCUUCUGGAUGAGUUGCGAACGGGUGAGUAACGCGUAGGUAACCUGCCUGGUAGCGGGGGAUAACUAUUGGAAACGAUAGCUAAUACCGCAUAACAGUAGAUGUUGCAUGACAUUUGCUUAAAAGGUGCAAUUGCACCACUACCAGAUGGACCUGCGUUGUAUUAGCUAGUUGGUGGGGUAACGGCUCACCAAGGCGACGAUACAUAGCCGACCUGAGAGGGUGAUCGGCCACACUGGGACUGAGACACGGCCCAGACUCCUACGGGAGGCAGCAGUAGGGAAUCUUCGGCAAUGGACGGAAGUCUGACCGAGCAACGCCGCGUGAGUGAAGAAGGUUUUCGGAUCGUAAAGCUCUGUUGUAAGAGAAGAACGAGUGUGUGAGUGGAAAGUUCACACUGUGACGGUAUCUUACCAGAAAGGGACGGCUAACUACGUG
rnacentral:rRNA from 1 species